rnacentral:rRNA from 1 species
AGAGUUUGAUCCUGGCUCAGGACGAACGCUGGCGGCGUGCUUAACACAUGCAAGUCGAACGGAAAGGCCCCCACCUUGGUGGGGGUGCUCGAGUGGCGAACGGGUGAGUAACACGUGGGUGAUCUGCCCUGUACUUCGGGAUAAGCUUGGGAAACUGGGUCUAAUACCGGAUAGGACCAUGGUUUAGUGUCUCAUGGUGGAAAAAUUAUUGUUUUGGUGCAGGAUGAGCUCGCGGCCUAUCAGCUUGUUGGUGGGGUAAUGGCCUACCAAGGCGUCGACGGGUAGCCGGCCUGAGAGGGUGGACGGCCACAUUGGGACUGAGAUACGGCCCAGACUCCUACGGGAGGCAGCAGUGGGGAAUAUUGCACAAUGGGCGCAAGCCUGAUGCAGCGACGCCGCGUGGGGGAUGACGGCCUUCGGGUUGUAAACUCCUUUCGUUAGGGACGAAGCCAUACUUUUUGGGUGUGGUGACGGUACCUUUGUUAAGAAGCACCGGCUAACUACGUGCCAGCAGCCGCGGUAAUACGUAGGGUGCGAGCGUUGUCCGGAAUUACUGGGCGUAAAGAGCUCGUAGGUGGUUUGUUGCGUCGUCUGUGAAAUUCCGGGGCUUAACUUCGGGGUGGCAGGCGAUACGGGCAUAACUAGAGUGCUGUAGGGGAGACUGGAAUUCCUGGUGUAGCGGUGGAAUGCGCAGAUAUCAGGAGGAACACCGAUGGCGAAGGCAGGUCUCUGGGCAGUAACUGACGCUGAGGAGCGAAAGCAUGGGGAGCGAACAGGAUUAGAUACCCUGGUAGUCCAUGCUGUAAACGGUGGGCGUUAGGUGUGGGGACCGGUUUGGUUUCUGUGCCGUAGCUAACGCAUUAAGCGCCCCGCCUGGGGAGUACGGCCGCAAGGCUAAAACUCAAAGGAAUUGACGGGGGC